rnacentral:rRNA from 1 species
UACGAAGGGGGCUAGCGUUGUUCGGAAUCACUGGGCGUAAAGCGCACGUAGGCGGAUCGUUAAGUCGGGGGUGAAAUCCUGGAGCUCAACUCCAGAACUGCCUUCGAUACUGGCGAUCUUGAGUCCGGAAGAGGUGAGUGGAACUCCUAGUGUAGAGGUGGAAUUCGUAGAUAUUAGGAAGAACACCAGUGGCGAAGGCGGCUCACUGGUCCGGUACUGACGCUGAGGUGCGAAAGCGUGGGGAGCAAGCAGG